GAUGAACGCUGGCGGCGUGCCUAAUACAUGCAAGUCGAGCGAACAGACGAGGAGCUUGCUCCUCUGACGUUAGCGGCGGACGGGUGAGGAACACGUGGAUAACCUAGCUAAGAGACUGGGAUAACUUCGGGAAAACGGAGCUAAUACCGGCAAAUAAAUUGAAGCGCAUGGUUCAAUAGUGAAAGACGGCUUUGCUGUUACUUAUAGAUGGAUCCCCGCCGCAUUAGCUAGUUGGUAGGGUAACGGCUUACCAAGGCGACGAUGCGUAGCGGACCUGAGAGGAUGAUCAGCCACACUGGAACUGAGACACGGUCCAGACUCCUACGGGAGGCAGCAGUCGGGAAUAUUACGCAAUGGGCGAAAGCCUGACGGAGCAACGCCGCGUGAGUGAAGAAGGACUUCGGGUCGUAAAACUCUCUUAUUAGGAAAGAACUAAUGCGUGAGUAUAUAAGCACGCCAUGACGGUACCCAAUCAGAAAGCCACGGCUAACUUCGUG
rnacentral:rRNA from 1 species